ACAAAGGCUCUUUUAAGAGCCACCCACCUUCAAACCUAAGAGUGU
rnacentral:ncRNA from 1 species